GCAACCCUCAUGUCACCCAGUAUGGUUGCCCACAACACCCAACUGUCUAUAAUUAGAGUAACUACGAGCACUCAGAACGUGAGCGGAGAGAAAUAGAACCGGAAGAAAAGAGUGCAUGGUAGCACUUUGAGAAAAGGAUAAAGGAGGAAGGACCUGGGGACAAUGCAGAAUAGGCACAAUCAGUGUGGGAGAGCCUGGCUGCAGUGAAUGAAGAGUCCCUACAAUGUGCCUUUGCCCCCAAAACGGAGCCACUAUAUCUGGCAAAAACCAACUCACAUUCUAAUGUUCUUUAACGUUUGUGUUUCCUCUCGAGAGCAAGAAGCAAUGGUAUUUCAUUAAAGAGCAGACUGGUGUCUUUGUCUACAUUCUC